AGGACAUUCUGUUUCUAGGGAAGGACUGGGAAAGAGACCAGGCUGUUCCAGACAGUUCUUUCUUAUCUCAGGACAUUGCAUUCACAGCACAUUCUACAAUCGUUCUUGAGUAAGUGAGAAAAUGGGGAGAAAUGGGUUGGUCUAAGGUCACCCAGAGAAUUCUUCUCCAGUCAACAUAUUUCAAUAUAUCUGCAGCAAGACCAUAUUUCAAGUGUGCUGGUAGACUUUCUCCUUGGAUGAAAACAUUUGUUAUACAGGCAAGGUUUCACUCCGAUCUCUAAGUCUGGACUGCAGUGGCACCAGCUUGACUCACUGCUGCCUCCACCUCCUGGGUUCAAGCGAUUCUCCUGCCUCAGCCU